GGAAGUAAAAGUCGUAACCAGGUUUCCGUAGGUGAGCCUGCGGAAGGAUCAUUAUUGUAUAACCGAGGUGCGAGGGCUGUCGCUGACCCGAAAGGUCGUGCACGCUCGAGUGCCCUCACACACAUCCAUCUCACCCCUAUGUGCACCACCGCGUGGGUCCCCCUUUGGCUUGUUCGGAGGGGGGCUUACGUUUUCACACAAACUUUGUAUGCAGUGUAGAAUGUAUUUUUUGUUUUUGCGAUCACGCAAUCAAUACAACUUUCAACAACGGAUCUCUUGGCUCCC
rnacentral:misc_RNA from 1 species